GAUGAACGCUGGCGGCGUGCCUAAUACAUGCAAGUCGAGCGAACGGACGAGAAGCUUGCUUCUCUGGUGUUAGCGGCGGACGGGUGAGUAACACGUGGAUAACCUACCUAUAAGACUGGGAUAACUUCGGGAAACCGGAGCUAAUACCGGAUAAUAUUUUGAACCGCAUGGUUCAAAAGUGAAAGACGGUCUUGCUGUCACUUAUAGAUGGAUCCGCGCUGCAUUAGCUUGUUGGUAAGGUAACGGCUUACCAAGGCAACGAUGCAUAGCCGAGCUGAGAGGGUGAUCGGCCACACUGGAAGGGAGACACGGUACAGACGCCUACGGGAGGCACCCGUAGGGAAUCUUCCGGCAUGGGCGAAAGCCUGACGGAGCAACGCCGCGUGAGUGAUGAAGGUCUUCGGAUCGUAAAACUCUGUUAUUAGGGAAGAACAUAUGUGUAAGUAACUGUGCACAUCUUGACGGUACCUAAUCAGAAAGCCACGGCUAACUACGUG
rnacentral:rRNA from 1 species